CCUACGGGAGGCAGCAGUGAGGAAUAUUGGUCAAUGGGCGGGAGCCUGAACCAGCCAAGUCGCGUGAGGGACGACGGUCCUAUGGAUUGUAAACCUCUUUUGUCGGGGAACAAAGGCGCCCACGGGUGGGCGGAUGAGUGUACCCGAAGAACAAGCAUCGGCUAACUCCGUGCCAGCAGCCGCGGUAAUACGUAGGGUGCGAGCGUUAAUCGGAAUUACUGGGCGGAAAGGGUGUGCAGGCGGUUUUGCAAGAUGGAUGUGAAAGCCCCGGGCUUAACCUGGGAAAGCCAUACAUGACUGCAAGACUAGAGUGCGUCAGAGGGGGGUGGAAUUCCAAGUGUAGCAGUGAAAUGCGUAGAUAUUUGGAAGAACACCGAUGGCGAAGGCAGCCCCCUGGGACGCAACUGACGCUCAUACACGAAAGCGUGGGGAGCAAACAGGAUUAGAUACCCGAGUAGUC
rnacentral:rRNA from 1 species